rnacentral:rRNA from 1 species
GACGAACGCUGGCGGCGUGCCUAAUACAUGCAAGUUGAGCGAUGAAGAUUGGUGCUUGCACCAAUUUGAAGAGCAGCGAACGGGUGAGUAACGCGUGGGGAAUCUGCCUUUGAGCGGGGGACAACAUUUGGAAACGAAUGCUAAUACCGCAUAACAACUUUAAACAUAAGUUUUAAGUUUGAAAGAUGCAAUUGCAUCACUCAAAGAUGAUCCCGCGUUGUAUUAGCUAGUUGGUGAGGUAAAGGCUCACCAAGGCGAUGAUACAUAGCCGACCUGAGAGGGUGAUCGGCCACAUUGGGACUGAGACACGGCCCAAACGCCUACGGGAGGCAGCAGUAGGGAAUCUUCGGCAAUGGACGAAAGUCUGACCGAGCAACGCCGCGUGAGUGAAGAAGGUUUUCGGAUCGUAAAACUCGGUUGGUAGAGAAGAACGUUGGUGAGAGUGGAAAGCUCAUCAAGUGACGGUAACUACCCAGAAAGGGACGGCUAACUACGUG